GCGUCGCUGGUGCAACGGUUCAGCACGCGCUCCCGUAAAGUGUGGAACCUUGGUUCGAGUCCCAGCUGACGCA